rnacentral:rRNA from 1 species
UACGUAGGGUGCAGGCGUUAAUCGGAAUUACUGGGCGUAAAGCGUGCGCAGGCGGUUUCUUAAGUCAGAUGUGAAAGCCCCGGGCUCAACCUGGGAAUGGCGAUGGAUACUGGCUCGCUAGAGUGCGGUAGAGGAGAGUGGAAUUCCCGGUGUAGCAGUGAAAUGCGUAGAGAUCGGGAGGAACAUCAGUUGCGAAGGCGGCUCUCUGGGCCAUUACUGACGCUGAGGAGCGAAAGCGUGGGGAGCGAACAGG